AUGGCCACGGUCCGGGACUCAGCCAUUGUGCUGAUUUUGCUUUUCAGCUCCAGCAUGGAAGAUGCUGUAACUCAGACCCAGCCGGCAGUGUCAGGGGUGGAGCGCGAGUCCGUUUCCCUGGACUGCACCUAUGAAACUGCGACUAGCAGCUAUUAUUUGUAUUGGUACAAACGGCCCCCCGGGGAAAGCCUUAAUUUCCUUAUUCGGCAACAUUCUGGUGGAACGAAGAGGAAUGAGGCCGGGGAGAGAUUCUCUGUCAAUUUGGAGAAGUCCAAAAGCUCCGUCAGUUUGAGGAUCACAGCUCUGGAGUUGGGGGACGCGGCCAUGUACUUCUGCGCUUUCAGUAGAGACACGGUGUUGAAAAUUCCUAGGGAGCCCUGA